GAGUACGGCCGCAAGGUUAAAACUCAAAUGAAUUGACGGGGGCCCGCACAAGCGGUGGAGCAUGUGGUUUAAUUCGAUGCAACGCGAAGAACCUUACCUACUCUUGACAUCCAGAGAACUUAGCAGAGAUGCUUUGGUGCCUUCGGGAACUNUGAGACAGGUGCUGCAUGGCUGUCGUCAGCUCGUGUUGUGAAAUGUUGGGUUAAGUCCCGCAACGAGCGCAACCCUUAUCCUUUGUUGCCAGCGNNUCGGNCGGGAACUCAAAGGAGACUGCCAGUGAUAAACUGGAGGAAGGUGGGGAUGACGUCAAGUCAUCAUGGCCCUUACGAGUAGGGCUACACANUUGCUACAAUGGCAUAUACAAAGAGAAGCGACCUCGCGAGAGCAAGCGGACCUCAUAAAGUAUGUCGUAGUCCGGAUUGGAGUCUGCAACUCGACUCCAUGAAGUCGGAAUCGCUAGUAAUCGUGGAUCAGAAUGCCACGGUGAAUACGUUCCCGGGCCUUGUACACACCGCCCGUCACACCAUGGGAGUGGGUUGCAAAAGAAGUAGGUAGCUUAACUANNGGGAGGGCGNNACCAGANGAGANCAAGANCGGGGNGAAGGNGUAACAAGG
rnacentral:rRNA from 1 species